CACGUAGGGCGCAAGCGUUGUCCGGAAUUAUUGGGCGUAAAGAGCUCGUAGGCGGUCUGUUGCGUCCGCUGUGGAAAACCCGGGGCUUAACCCCUGGCUUGCAGUGGAUACGGACAGACUAGAGGUAGGUAGGGGAGAAUGGAAUUCCCGGUGUAGCGGUGAAAUGCGCAGAUAUCGGGAGGACACCGGGUGGCGAAGGCGGUCUCUGGGCCUUACCUGACGCUGAGGAGCGAAAGCGUGGGGAGCGAACAGG
rnacentral:rRNA from 1 species